rnacentral:rRNA from 1 species
GACGAGUCUCACGAACGUUAUUCGGAAUUACUGGGCUUAAAGGGUGCGUAGGCGGUGGAGUAAGUCGGAUGUGAAAUACCAUAGCUUAACUAUGGAACUGCACUCGAUACGGGCAGACUAGAGUUCGGUAGGGGAGACUGGAAUUCCUGGUGUAGCGGUGAAAUGCGCAGAUAUCAGGAGGAACACCGGUGGCGAAGGCGGGUCUCUGGGCCGAAACUGACGCUGAGGAGCGAAAGCGUGGGGAGCAAACAGG